GACUGCGCCAAGCAGGGAGAGGGGUUGCAGGCAGGAGCGUGGACAGGGGAGAUUUCAGGGAGACUUCCAGCGGCCCCGCCUCUUUCGUGUAGGGAAACCUUUCCUCCUUUUGUGUGGGGAUACCUCAAACUCACUACUGAACUGAGUUCCUGACCGUCCACCCUUCACUUCCUCAUCCACCCCUGCCUCAGAAGAUGGCAGCUCCAUCUUCCAGUUGCUGAGGCUGAAAUAACUCCAUCAUCCCUCAUUCUUUUCUUAUCCUGGAGUUGGACCAAAGAUUCAUUCAGGUUAUGUGAGCUCUACCAGCUAAGGCGUCAUGGUGCUACCUGCUGUUUUCCCAGCCCAGAGAUGGGACUCCAGGCCUUAUACAUAGCAGCUCUGCCGGCACGACCUUGAGGAAGUCAGCAGACGUCUCCAAGCCUUGGUUUACAGUGGUGGAGCAGUAUGGACCGCCCAUUGGUGACCAUUACUCAAGCUAGCCACACACUCAGAGGCUGGAGCAAGCAGCCUGCCUGGGUCACUUCACCCAGUGUUCAAAGGAUCUCUCCGAGGGGAAAACCCACUUUUCAUCUCUGUCCAGCAGAAACAGAA
rnacentral:lncRNA from 1 species